rnacentral:lncRNA from 1 species
UAGCUGCAACAAUGCAAAACAAGGCUGUUAGUUUCUCAAACUUAGAGAUAUUAUAAUUCUUGUGCGUGAGUAGUGAUGUAGUUGAUGAGAGUACUUACGUGCAUGUGAAGGGAGGGGAGUUGGGAUUAGGAAGAUAGGGAGGUGUAGGAACACCUGGAGUCCCGGGGUCGAUUGGUGGAGUUCCGAUGAUUGGAGGAGUAACAAUGACAGGGGGUGUUAAUGGGGUUGAAGGUGGAGUUCUGUAGGUUGGAGUUGAUGGUGGAGUUCCGUAGGUUGGAGUUGAUGGUGGAGUUCCGUAGGUUGGGGUUGAAGGAGUUGUCGGUCUUGAUGGAGUUGGAGUUAGUCUUGAUGGUGGUGUACCACAGUUGGUAGGUGGUGAUGGUGAAGGGUUGUAGCUUCCAUGAGAGGGAGGGUUGGAAUGAGAUGGGGUAUGGUGGUGGGAAGGAGGACUUCCAUGUGAACCUGCAUUUCAUGAAGCGAAAGAUUAGUAUAUGAGAAAGACAUAUUUAGAUGAUCUAUAUAGCAUGCAUGAAUAAAAACAAAAACGAAGGAACAGAUACAAUGUGUAUCUGUG